UGACUCAUGAGCAGUCUGACGGAGCACGCCGCGUGAGCGAUGAAGGCCUUCGGGUCUGUAAGCUCUGUUGUUAGGGAAGAACAAGUAUCGGAGUAACUGCCGGUACCUUGACGGUCCCUAACCAGAAAGCCACGGCUAACUACGUGCCAGCAGCCGCGGUAAUAAA
rnacentral:rRNA from 1 species